UCCUGAUGGUUCAGAGGGUAAAGAAUCUGCAUGAAAUGCAGGAGACCCAGGUUCAAUCCCUGGGUUGGGAA
rnacentral:tRNA from 1 species